UACGGGGGGGGGCAAGCGUUGUUCGGAAUUACUGGGCGUAAAGGGCUCGUAGGCGGCCAACUAAGUCAGACGUGAAAUCCCUCGGCUUAACCGGGGAACUGCGUCUGAUACUGGAUGGCUUGAAUCCGGGAGAGGGAUGCGGAAUUCCAGGUGUAGCGGUGAAAUGCGUAGAUAUCUGGAGGAACACCGGUGGCGAAGGCGGGUCUCUGGGCAACAACUGACGCUGAGGAGCGAAAGCGUGGGGAGCGAACAGG
rnacentral:rRNA from 1 species